rnacentral:rRNA from 1 species
UGUUUCGGCUAGGGGGUCAUCCCGACUUACCAACCCGAUGCAAACUACGAAUACCGAAGAAUGUUAUCACGGGAGACACACGGCGGGUGCUAACGUCCGUCGUGAAGAGGGAAACAACCCAGACCGCCAGCUAAGGUCCCAAAGUCACAGUUAAGUGGGAAACGAUGUGGGAAGGCACAGACAGCCAGGAUGUUGGCUUAGAAGCAGCCAUCAUUUAAAGAAAGCGUAAUAGCUCACUGGUCGAGUCGGCCUGCGCGGAAGAUGUAACGGGGCUAAACUGUGCACCGAAGCUGCGGCAGCGACACUAUGUGUUGUUGGGUAGGGGAGCGUUCUGUAAGCCUGCGAAGGUGGCCUGUGAGGGUUGCUGGAGGUAUCAGAAGUGCGAAUGCUGACAUAAGUAACGAUAAUGCGGGUGAAAAGCCCGCACGCCGGAAGACCAAGGGUUCCUGUCCAACGUUAAUCGGGGCAGGGUGAGUCGACCCCUAAGGCGAGGCCGAAAGGCGUAGUCGAUGGGAAACAGGUUAAUAUUCCUGUACU